rnacentral:rRNA from 1 species
UACAGAGGUCCCGAGCGUUGUUCGGAUUCAUUGGGCGUAAAGGGUGCGUAGGUGGCGCCGUAAGUGGGGUGUGAAAUCCCGGGGCUUAACCCCGGGACUGCAUUCCAUACUGCGGUGCUUGAGGACUGGAGAGGAGACUGGAAUUUACGGUGUAGCAGUGAAAUGCGUAGAGAUCGUAAGGAAGACCAGUGGCGAAGGCGGGUCUCUGGACAGUGCCUGACACUGAGGCACGAAGGCCAGGGGAGCAAACGGG